UACGGAGGGGGUUAGCGUUGUCCGGAAUUAUUGGGCGUAAAGCGCGCGCAGGCGGUCCCUUAAGUCUGAUGUGAAAGCCCACGGCUCAACCGUGGAGGGUCAUUGGAAGCUGGGGGGCUUGAGUGCAGAAGAGGAAAGUGGAAUUCCAGGUGUAGCGGUGAAAUGCGUAGAGAUGUGGAGGAACACCAGUGGCGAAGGCUACCUCCUGGCCCAUUCCUGACACUUAGACGCGAAAGCUAGGGUAGCAAACGGG
rnacentral:misc_RNA from 1 species